AUUGAACGCUGGCGGCAGGCCUAACACAUGCAAGUCGAACGAGUGGCGGACGGGUUAGUAAUGUCUGGGAAACUGCCCGAUGGAGGGGGAUAACUACUGGAAACGGUAGCUAAUACCGCAUACCAUCGGAUGUGCCCAGAUGGGAUUAGCUAGUAGGUGGGGUAAAGGCUCACCUAGUCGACGAUCCCUAGCUGGUCUGAGAGGAUGACCAUCCACACUGGAACUGAGACACGGUCCAGACUCCUACGGGAGGCAUCAGGGGGGAAUAUUGCACAAUGGGUGCAAGCCUGAUACAGCCAUGCCGCGUGUAUGAAGAAGGACUUCGGGUUGUAAAGUACUUUCAGCGAGGAGGCGUUACUCGCAGAAGAAGCACCGGCUAACUCCGUGCCAGCAGCCGCGGUAAUAC
rnacentral:rRNA from 1 species